rnacentral:rRNA from 1 species
AGUGAACGCUGGCGGUAGGCCUAACACAUGCAAGUCGAACGGCAGCACAGUAAGAGCUUGCUCUUACGGGUGGCGAGUGGCGGACGGGUGAGGAAUACAUCGGAAUCUACUUUUUCGUGGGGGAUAACGUAGGUAAACUUACGCUAAUACCGCAUACGACCUACGGGUGAAAGCAGGGGAUCUUCGGACCUUGCGCGAUUGAAUGAGCCGAUGUCGGAUUAGCUAGUUGGCGGGGUAAAGGCCCACCAAGGCGACGAUCCGUAGCUGGUCUGAGAGGAUGAUCAGCCACACUGGAACUGAGACACGGUCCAGACUCCUACGGGAGGCAGCAGUGGGGAAUAUUGGACAAUGGGCGCAAGCCUGAUCCAGCCAUACCGCGUGGGUGAAGAAGGCCUUCGGGUUGUAAAGCCCUUUUGUUGGGAAAGAAACGCAGCAGGUUAAUACCCCGCUGUUCUGACGGUACCCAAAGAAUAAGCACCGGCUAACUUCGUG